rnacentral:rRNA from 1 species
GGAUGCGAUCAUACCAGCACUAAAGCACCGAUCCCAUCAGAACUCCGCAGUUAAGCGUGCUUGGGCGAGAGUAGUACUAGGAUGGGUGACCCCCUGGAAGUCCUCGUGUUGCAUCCU